CCUACGGGUGGCAGCAGUGAGGAAUAUUGGUCAAUGGACGCAAGUCUGAACCAGCCAUGCCGCGUGCAGGAUGACUGCCCUAUGAGUUGUAAACUGCUUUUGUAUGAGGGUAAACACAGAUACGCGUAUCUGUUUGAAAGUAUCGUACGAAUAAGGAUCGGCUAACUCCGUGCCAGCAGCCGCGGUAAUACGGAGGAUUCAAGCGUUAUCCGGAUUUAUUGGGUUUAAAGGGAGCGUAGGCGGUCGGUUAAGUCAGUGGUGAAAGUUCGCGGCUCAACCUCGGAAUUGCCGUUGAUACUGUUCGGCUAGAGAGUAGUUGCGGUAGGCGGAAUGCAUGGUGUAGCGGUGAAAUGCUUAGAGAUCAUACAGAACACCGAUUGCGAAGGCAGCUUACCAAGCUACUUCUGACGUUGAGGCACGAAAGUGUGGGGAGCAAACAGGAUUAGAUACCCGUGUAGUC
rnacentral:rRNA from 1 species